rnacentral:rRNA from 1 species
UACGGAGGGUGCGAGCGUUGUUCGGAAUCACUGGGCUUAAAGCGCGUGUAGGCGGGGUGCUAAGUGUCGGGUGAAAGCCCUCGGCUCAACCGAGGAACCGCUCGGCAAACUGGCGCUCUUGAGGCAGGUAGAGGCGACUGGAACGACUGGUGGAGCGGUGAAAUGCGUAGAUAUCAGUUGGAACGCCGGUGGCGAAAGCGGGUCGCUGGGCCUGUCCUGACGCUGAGACGCGAAAGCGUGGGUAGCAAACAGG